rnacentral:ncRNA from 2 species
UUGAAUAUUCUGCUUCGAGAUUAUACGGCUAAGGGUGACUAUGCCGGAUAACCCUGAGUUUUACUCACAGGGCAGUGCUGGAAACGGUGCUGCCUCCCAUAACGCGGGGAUGCCCGCGCGGAAAGAAGCCUGUAGGUUGUUUUG